CGGGUGAGUAAGCGUGGAUAACCUGCCUCACACUGGGGGAUAACAGUUAGAAAUGACUGCUAAUACCGCAUGAGCGCACAGUACCGCAUGGUACGGUGUGAAAAACUCCGGUGGUGUGAGAUGGAUCCGCGUCUGAUUAGCCAGUUGGCGGGGUAACGGCCCACCAAAGCGACGAUCAGUAGCCGACCUGAGAGGGUGACCGGCCACAUUGGGACUGAGACACGGCCCAA
rnacentral:rRNA from 1 species